AACGAACGCUGGUGGCAUGCCUAAUACAUGCAAGUCGAACGAGAAAGCUCUUCGGAGUGAGUAGAGUGGCGCACGGGUGAGUAACGCGUAGGUGACCUACCCUUUAGCUGGGGAUAACUAAGAGAAAUUUUAGCUAAUACCGAAUAAGCUCGAAAGAGUAAAGAUGGGGAUCUUCGGACCUAUCACUUUAGGAGGGGCCUGCGUAUCAUUAGCUUGUUGGUGGGGUAAUGGCCUACCAAGGCGACGAUGAUUAACUGGUCUGAGAGGAUGAUCAGUCACACUGGAACUGAGACACGGUCCAG
rnacentral:rRNA from 1 species